AGUGUUGGACUAGUAACCGGGGGGGUCAGGUAGCCUAGUGGUUAGAGUGUUGGACUAGUAACUGGGGGGGUCAGGUAGCCUAGUGGUUAGAGUGUUGGACUAGUAACUGGGGGGGUCAGGUAGCCUAGUGGUUAGAGUGUUGGACUAGUAACCGGGGGGGUCAGGUAGCCUAGUGGUUAGAGUGUUGGACUAGUAACUGGGGGGGUCAGGUAGCCUAGUGGUUAGAGUGUUGGACUAGUAACCGGGGGGGUCAGGUAGCCUAGUGGUUAGAGUGUUGGACUAGUAACUGGGGGGGUCAGGUAGCCUAGUGGUUAGAGUGUUGGACUAGUAACUGGGGGGGUCAGGUAGCCUAGUGGUUAGAGUGUUGGACUAGUAACCGGGGGGGUCAGGUAGCCUAGUGGUUAGAGUGUUGGACUAGUAACUGGGGGGGUCAGGUAGCCUAGUGGU